GACGAACGCUGGCGGCGUGCUUAACACAUGCAAGUCGAACGGAAAGGCCCUGCUUUUGUGGGGUGCUCGAGUGGCGAACGGGUGAGUAACACGUGAGUAACCUGCCCUUGACUUUGGGAUAACUUCAGGAAACUGGGGCUAAUACCGGAUAGGAGCUCCUGCUGCAUGGUGGGGGUUGGAAAGUUUCGGCGGUUGGGGAUGGACUCGCGGCUUAUCAGCUUGUUGGUGGGGUAGUGGCUUACCAAGGCUUUGACGGGUAGCCGGCCUGAGAGGGUGACCGGCCACCUUGGUACUGAGAUACGGCCCAGACUCCUACGGGAGGCAGCAGUGGGGAAUAUUGCACAAUGGGCGGAAGCCUGAUGCAGCAACGCCGCGUGCGUGAUGACGGCCUUCGGGUUGUAAACCGCUUUCGCCUGUGACGAAGCGUGAGUGACGGUAAUGGGUAAAGAAGCACCGGCUAACUACGUG
rnacentral:rRNA from 1 species